rnacentral:rRNA from 1 species
UGCCAGCCGCCGCGGUAAUACGGAUGGUGCGAGCGUUAAUCGGAAUUACUGGGCGUAAAGCGCGCGUAGGCGGUUUUGUAAGUCAGAUGUGAAAGCCCAGGGCUCAACCUUGGAACUGCAUUUGAUACUGCAUGACUAGAGUGCGAUAGAGGGGGGUAGAAUUUCAGGUGCAGCGGUGAAAUGCGUAGAGAUCCGAAGGAAUACCAGUGGCGAAGACGGCCCCCUGGAUUGACACUGACGCUGAGGUGCGAAAGCGUGGGGAGCAAACAGGAUUAGAUA